rnacentral:lncRNA from 1 species
GCUGGUGAUAACUACAAGUGUAGAUAGAAUAUAGAAUAGAAAUAUAAGCAAUGACGGGAGUUUUCGCUUUAGGCAGGAACAAAAUUUGUUAACACAUUUUGUCUUUUGUCCCUUUAGCACCUCGUUUGGAGAUGCUUUUCAAUCCAAAUCUUAUAUAUUGGGACAUGGGAAUCAUUUAUAAUAGAACACUAUGCUGAUGAUAGACCUGCAGCAA